rnacentral:rasiRNA from 1 species
UUGAAGUCCACGAAUGUGCCGAGCAC